AUUGAACGCUGGCGGCAUGCCUUACACAUGCAAGUCGAACGGCAGCACGGGAGCAAUCCCGGUGGCGAGUGGCGAACGGGUGAGUAAUACAUCGGAACGUGCCCAGUAGUGGGGGAUAGCCCGGCGAAAGCCGGAUUAAUACCGCAUACGACCUACGGGUGAAAGCGGGGACCGAAAGGCCUCGCGCUAUUGGAGCGGCCGAUGUCAGAUUAGGUUGUUGGUGGGGUAAAAGCCCACCAAGCCGACGAUCUGUAGCUGGUCUGAGAGGACGACCAGCCACACUGGGACUGAGACACGGCCCAGACUCCUACGGGAGGCAGCAGUGGGGAAUUUUGGGCAAUGGGCGCAAGCCUGAUCCAGCCAUGCCGCGUGUGGGAAGAAGGCCUUCGGGUUGUAAACCACUUUUGUCAGGGAAGAAACGGCUCUUACUAAUAUCAGGGGCUAAUGACGGUACCUGAAGAACAAGCACCGGCUAACUACGUGCCAGCCGCCGCGGUAA
rnacentral:rRNA from 1 species